rnacentral:sRNA from 2 species
CAGAACACCACGCCACGGCAGGAGCGGGGGAACCACAGGUAGUACGCCGGGCCCGGAACGCACGGGAACGGCUCGGGGUGAAGCCGCGGAGACGCGGCCGGGCAACUCUCGCCCGAACCCGACAGCUCACCUCGCAGGCGUCGGAGAGGAACA